AACGAACGCUGGCGGCAUGCCUAACACAUGCAAGUCGAACGAGACCUUCGGGUCUAGUGGCGCACGGGUGCGUAACGCGUGGGAACCUGCCCUUAGGUUCGGAAUAACUCCCCGAAAGGGGUGCUAAUACCGGAUAAUGUCUUCGGACCAAAGAUUUAUCGCCUUUGGAUGGGCCCGCGUUGGAUUAGCUAGUUGGUAGGGUAAAAGCCUACCAAGGCGACGAUCCAUAGCUGGUCUGAGAGGAUGAUCAGCCACACUGGGACUGAGACACGGCCCAGACUCCUACGGGAAGCAGCAGUGGGGAAUAUUGGACAAUGGGCGAAAGCCUGAUCCAGCAAUGCCGCGUGAGUGAUGAAGGCCUUAGGGUUGUAAAGCUCUCUUACCCGGGAUGAUAAUGACAGUACCGGGAGAAUAAGCUCCGGCUAACUCCGUG
rnacentral:rRNA from 1 species